GACGAACGCUGGCGGCGUGCCUAACACAUGCAAGUCGAGCGGGGUUAUACGGAAGCUUGCUUCUGUAUAACUUAGCGGCGGACGGGUGAGUAACGCGUGAGUAACCUGCCCGUAAGACGGGGAUAACACAGAGAAAUCUGUGCUAAUACCCGACGAAGAAAUUUUGCUGCAUGGCAGGAUUUUGAAAGAUUUAUCGCUUACGGAUGGACUCGCGUUCGAUUAGAUAGUUGGCAGGGUAACGGCCUACCAAGGCGACGAUCGAUAGCCGAACUGAGAGGGUGAUCAGCCACAUUGGGACUGAGACACGGCCCAGACUCCUACGGGAGGCAGCAGUGGGGAAUAUUGCGCAAUGGGGGGAACCCUGACGCAGCAACGCCGCGUGAAGGAAGAAGGUCUUCGGAUUGUAAACUUUUGUCGCAAAGGAAGAAAGAAAUGACGGUACUUUGUGAGAAAGCCACGGCUAACUACGUGCCAGCCGCCGCAGUAA
rnacentral:rRNA from 1 species